CUUAUUUCCAAAAACAACUGGAAGCCAAAAUAGAUGCCAGCUCGCUCAACAUUAAUUAUGUCUAAAAUCCACAAGCAAUUUAUAUACUAGAUUUCCCAAUUUCUACCAUCUCUUCACCGAUUUAAUGAAAGAGAGAGAGAGUAAAGCCAUUAGAAUUGAAGGAACAGUUGACCUGCUUGCUUCUUCUCCGUGGAGGUUUCACUUAUCUAAAGGAUUUUAAGCUCGACUUGGCCGAGAGACAUCUAACUCUAGCAUGAGUCUAGACAUGAUCCCUCCAAAGAGAACGGAAUGCAUUAGAUUCUGGCGUAUGUGAACCAACAGAACGAUAUGAAGGUGAUACCAUUGCUUUCCAAGAGGAAACCUUUCGUUGACAUUCGAGCUAGGGCUAAGGUAUUUAUGAGCUGCAUUGAUCGCUUCUUCGAGGUAUAGAGCAUAGAGGAGUGGGGGUUUUGAUAAUCACCACUUCUUAUUUCUGAGACGAGAAAGGGGUUAUGUUAAUCUCACCUUCGUUGAUGCCGUUUAUUCUUUUGCCGAAGGAUGAAGUGAGUCUGGCUUGCCCCAAGACGAUUGCGAAGGAUGAAUCUGCCAGUAAAGUGUGAAGUCCGCUUCAGGCAUGAUGGAGUGAACAAUGUAUCACACGUUUCAAGCACGCGUGUCGCGUCUCAUGCUGCGCAAAGUGUGCGCGCAGAAACUCCACCCUAAUUAAAGUCGACUCCAUUUUUUUAUAAUAGAAAGGGCUAAACAAGACGAGGGAUAGCACGACCCCACAAAUCAGUAAAGCAAAGCCGGAUUCCAUUUCAAAUAUUCAAUUGGCGCAUCGAGCUCGCAUAUGCGAAUUCACAUCCGCCCCAUUAGUGCCUCACAACACAUUCCAACCAUGUAUUCGGAACAUGGUUCCGUAACAUCUUCCGUAUUUGCCAUUAGUAGUUUCUUCCAAUAAACGAUUGGGAGCCUAUGCGUAUUCCUCAAAAAUCCAGAUUGCCCAUCUGCCCCGUCAUUCCUGACCAUUUUACGGGCUACGUUACUUUCCCGCCCUAGAAUUUCAGUUUCUCUGAAAGUGCAAUGCAGCAGUCCGGUCUGUGAUUUUGGUGAAAUGAGCGCUCAAUUGAUUACAUUCGGACACCAAUCCCUAGCUCCAACGAGGACUCCUAUUCCUGCAAAACCCACAUUGCGCCAUGGGAGGAUACAGUCUUGUUCUUGUAUACAAGACCUUAAAGGCCAAACUGUUGUCGUUGUAGGUCUAGGUGUAUCUGGAAGAGCUGCGGCAAGGCUUGCUCUUGUUAGAGGUGCUACUGUCAUAGCUAUUGAUCAGAAUAAGAAAUUGGGACCAUUGGAAAGAGAUCCUCUAUUUGAAAAGUGCAAUGACCUGAGAACAAUUCUUGGACAUUGUGAUAAAGAGCUUCUGGAAAAAGCAGACAGGGUGGUUGUCUCCCCUGGGGUUCCUCUUGAGAAUUAUGGUCUUUCCUUUCUAUUGCAAUCAGGAAGGCCAGUGGUUUCUGAAUUGGACUUUGCAGCAGAGGUUCUUCCAAAAAGCGCAAAGAUUUUAGCUGUCACAGGAACCAAUGGAAAAUCUACAGUUACUACUUUUGCUGGACAGAUGCUUUCUAAUUUGGGUUCUAAGGUUUUCAUUGGAGGAAACCUUGGGAAUCCACUCUCUGAUGCUGCCAUUAAAGGCCUAAGUUCAUCUUUUUUGGAGCCAUUUGAGGUUGCAGUGGUGGAAGUUAGCAGCUAUCAAAUGGAAAUUCCUCAUAAGCAUUUCUGUCCUUCAGUUGCCGUGCUUUUAAACCUCACACCAGAUCAUCUAGAGAGGCACAAGACAAUGAGGAAUUAUGCAAUGACCAAGUGCCGUUUGUUUUCUCACAUGAAUGGCAGCAAGCUUGCCGUCCUUCCAAUUGGAAACCAACAUUUGAAUGAAGCACUAAAGGAUCACGUGAGCAAAUGUAAUGUGGUUUGGAUUGGAGAUUUCCCAGGUGUCAAAGUUGACAUGGUGAAGAAGGUUGCCAACUUUAGGCUUCCCACCAUUGGAGUUGCUUCUCAGAUACAACUGGGAGCACUGAAGGCAAUAGGAAACCACAACUAUUACAAUGCUGCAGUGGCUGCAUUUUGUGUUCUUGCGUUGGAUGUUGGAAUUGAUGGUGAAGCCAUUAGUGCUAUAAUGGGGACACUGCAUGCUCCACCUCAUCGGAUGCAAAUUGUAUAUAGCGAUACCCGUGGGAUAACAUGGGUGGAUGACAGCAAGGCGACAAAUGUUGAAGCAACAUAUACAGCACUUACAGGUCUCAAUGAACAAAAGUCUGUUGUUCUACUUGGUGGUCUUGCAAAGGUCCUGGAUAUACAAGGAUCUUGUGGUUUUGAACGGCUUGUAGACCCUCUCAAGUACCACAGAUGUGUCAUCACUUUUGGCUCUUCAGGAUCAAUGAUUCAGAAGACAUUAUGGGCUGCUGGACUUAGCAUUCCUUGUAUUAAAGCUACAAAUCUAGAGGAUGCUGUGAACGUUGCAAGGAAUGUUGCAAGACUUGGGGAUACAGUCAUAUUAAGUCCGGGUUGUGCAAGCUUUGACGAAUUUAGCAAUUUUGAACAUAGGGGGAGGGUAUUUCAGGAACUGGUGCUUUCAUCACAGUAGUUUUGUCUCGGCUAAAUUGUAUCUUUUCCUAACAUUUAAGUCUGUUGCAGCAGAAUCUGGGGCACCUAAACGAUGGGUAACAAAGCAAGUGUUGUCUGACAUCUCAUGUCGGUUCAUCUGUACUUGCAGAGCAGGGGGUGACCUGACAUUUAAUUCGCCUGAUCUUUAUGUUCAUACAGAGAAAAUGAACUGAUGAACUAGUUCAUUCCAUUUCAUAAUUGAUACAUUAUCUGUUCUUUUGGAUCAACAUUCAACAGAAGUGUUGUUGGAGUCUGACAAGAAGUGUUUCAUUGACUUUUCCCUUGGAAAGCUAGACUCCCAUGUCAAACAUGUCAUCUGAUCAGUUUGUUUGAGCAAUGGUCCUUGCAUGCCACGUUAACAUUACAUUGCGACAAUAUGGUCUUUGCACGAUGUCAAGGGUUUUAUCAGAAAGGUGCACUUCUGUCGUUUGACAGGUUGGAACUUGGGCUAGAACAGAGGAGUAGAGUUUGAUACUGGAGAGUUUAACUGAUAUAACUUAACUUUAAUGUAAAUAUCGAGUCUUACCAUCUUAACAACUUUAUUUGUUGAAUAAUGAAUGUGGGAAACCGGAAACGACAUCUGUAAUUAGGCAUUUCUAUACGACAUUUGAUUAAUUUGCAGGCUGAGCAAAGGAUAUCUUUUUGGAUGAA